UACGGGGGGUGCAAGCGUUGUUCGGAUUUAUUGGGCGUAAAGCGCGUGUAGGCGGUUUCUUAAGUCUGAUGUGAAAGCCCUGGGCUCAACCCGGGAAGUGCAUUGGAUACUGGGAGACUUGAAUACGGGAGAGGGUAGUGGAAUUCCUAGUGUAGGAGUGAAAUCCGUAGAUAUUAGGAGGAACACCGGUGGCGAAGGCGGCUACCUGGACCGAUAUUGACGCUGAGACGCGAAAGCGUGGGUAGCAAACAGG
rnacentral:rRNA from 1 species